UUAUUUCUUCAAUUGUAAGAAAUUAAAUUUACAAAUUUUUAAAAAUUGCGGUCUGAUGCGUCAGAACUGUCCACGUGUCCACCCAUGGGUCAGGGCGCGGGUCAAAUCAUGAUCAGCGGUUCAAAAUCGUUUUUUCCGGGUUGAGUAUAAAAGCCCUAUUUCCCACUCUUUUCCUUAUUUUCAAAUCACGGUUCACCACUUAGAGAGAGAAAACCGUUCGACUUCUUCCAUUUUAGGAGAGAGAAAGCUUAUUCUCUUUGAUCUUCUCUUCGAUUGCUUCAAUUUCUGUUUCGAAAGUGUGAUUGUGAUUUUUUUCUGUUCUUCAUCAACAUUCGGGUUUCGUAACUGCGAUUUGUGAUUAUCUCGGUUGUUCUUCAUUUUCGACAACACAUUGGUUUUGUAACUGCGAUUUGUGAUUAUCUCGGUUGUUCAUCAUUUUCGACAACACUUUUUCACAAAAUGAGAUAGAAAAAUGCUAAUAAACCAUCUGAUUAUCAUGAUGCUUCUUCCCAAAACACAUCUGGGAAGCCAAGUGUAGAUGUUCCAGCUGGUGGGAAGCCGAGUGCAGAUGCUGCAGCUGGUAAACAUAACGAUGAGAGGAAAGUAGGAAGAGGGCCAAAGAAGUCCAAAGUAAAAUUAGAAUACACGGAAGAUGGAGGGGAUGUCAUAUAGUUGGAUAGGUAUAACUCCUAUCCUCUGUAACUAAUAUUUAUCACUGUUUAACUACUUUUAUUUAUUUUUAAACUAAUUGCUUUUGCUGUGAAAACAAUUAAUUUACCUAUACUAUUUUUUUCGUAUACUUUGAAGAAGAAGGGGGCAAUUAUGUAGAUUUUUUUUUCCAUAUCAAAGAAUCUUUUGCUUGAGGUUUACACUAAAAAAAAAAACUUGUUUGUAAAUAUUUAGCUUGGACAAUUUUGACCCACA